GAUGAACGCUGGCGGCGUGCCUAACACAUGCAAGUCGAACGGUGUUGUUAUUAGGAAGUUUUCGGAUGGAAUAAUAAUAACUUAGUGGCGGACGGGUGAGUAACGCGUGGGUAACCUGCCUCAUACAGGGGGAUAACAGUUGGAAACGGCUGCUAAAACCGCAUGACAUUGCGAUGUCACAUGACAAUGCAAUGAAAUAUUUAUAGGUAUGAGAUGGGCCCGCGUCUGAUUAGCUAGUUGGUGAGGUAAUGGCCCACCAAGGCGACGAUCAGUAGCCGGCUUGAGAGAGUGACCGGCCACAUUGGGACUGAGACACGGCCCAAACUCCUACGGGAGGCAGCAGUGGGGAAUAUUGCACAAUGGGGGAAACCCUGAUGCAGCGACGCCGCGUGAGUGAAGAAGUAUUUCGGUAUGUAAAGCUCUAUCAGCAGGGAAGAAAAUGACGGUACCUGACUAAGAAGCCCCGGCUAACUACGUGCCAGCCGCCGCAGUAA
rnacentral:rRNA from 1 species